UUGGAAACUCCAGUAACAAACAGUCUGCAAAUCCACUUUGAGCUUCUGAUGAGAAAUUGAGGGCACUCGAAAGAAAUAAAUCACAUUCACUGAAAUUUUCUGAUCCUAUUUCUGUACAUAUGUCAUGAUAAUUUGUGUCAAGUAAUAUGACAGCAUCUUUCCUCUGAGGGACUUAAUGUGCUUAUGCCAACUACUUAUCCAUCAGGCAAAUGUUUACAUUCUGAGGAUGAACUAAGGGAAUGUCUUAGAUAGCUGGGAGCCUGAGGCUAGGACUGUGCACUGAGGGGCACUAAUAAAAUCAGAUAAUCAAAUUUCUUCCACCUUCUCUGUGGUUUAGGCUGUGCAGUCUGGAAGCAGGCCAGGUGGUUGGUUUUAGGAAUCACAGGGUUGAGCUUACAGUACAAGACAGAUUUUACUUCAAGUCUAAGUUAGCCUUGACUAAUGAUUGUUCCAUCACUUUUAGAUGUCCAGCUAACUCACUUACAGGCACAUCAGGAAGAGGGACCUCUCAAGACUGUUUUCUCACCAAAACUCUGAGGUUCUGGUUUCAUAAC
rnacentral:lncRNA from 1 species